UUAACUUAAAAUAAGUUUAAAAAUUUUACUUAGACAGAUAUUUUCUCAUCCAACCCUUCAUUCUAGCUUU
rnacentral:tRNA from 1 species